AAACAAAACUUUCAACAACGGAUCUCUUGGUUCUGGCAUCGAUGAAGAACGCAGCGAAAUGCGAUAAGUAAUGUGAAUUGCAGACACCGUGAAUCAUCGAAUCUUUGAACGCACAUUGCGCCCUUUGGUAUUCCGAAGGGCAUGCCUGUUCGAGCGUC
rnacentral:rRNA from 1 species